GACGAACGCUGGCGGCGUGCUUAACACAUGCAAGUCGAACGGUGAUGAAGAGCUUGCUCUUUUGAUCAGUGGCGAACGGGUGAGUAACACGUGAGCAACCUACCCUUGACUCUGGGAUAACAGUUGGAAACAGCUGCUAAUACCGGAUAUGAACUCAGCGGGCAUCUGCUGGGUUGGAAAGCUCCGACGGUCAGGGAUGGGCUCGCGGCCUAUCAGCUUGUUGGUGAGGUAAUGGCUCACCAAGGCGACGACGGGUAGCCGGCCUGAGAGGGCGACCGGCCACACUGGGACUGAGAUACGGCCCAGACUCCUACGGGAGGCAGCAGUGGGGAAUAUUGCGCAAUGGGCGAAAGCCUGACGCAGCAACGCCGCGUGCGGGAUGACGGCCUCGGUUGUAACGACGUUCUAGCAGGACGGAAACGUAGACGGUACCGUCGCAGAAGAAGACACCGGACGUACUAACGUGCCACGCAGCCGCGGUAACGUACGUCU
rnacentral:rRNA from 1 species